AUACGGAGGACGCGAGCGUUAUCCGGAUUCAUUGGGUUUAAAGGGUGCGCAGGCGGCCGUGCAAGUCAGCGGUGAAAGCCCGGGGCUCAACCCCGGAAGUGCCGUUGAUACUGCAUGGCUGGAAUGCGGUCGAGGCGGGCGGAACGUGGCGUGUAGCGGUGAAAGACGUAGAUAUGCCACAGAACGCCGAGAGCGGGGGCAGCGCGGCGGGCCUGCAUUGACGCUCGGGCACGAAAGCGUGGGGAUCGAACAGGAUUAGAUACCCUGGUAGUCCACGCCGUAAACGAUGGGCGCUCGUCGUCGGCGGCAGACAGUCGGCGGCCAAGCGAAAGCGAUAAGCGCCCCACCUGGGGAGUACGGUCGCAAGGCUGAAACUCAAAUGAAUUGACGGGG
rnacentral:rRNA from 1 species